rnacentral:rRNA from 1 species
UACGUAGGGGGCGAGCGUUGUCCGGAUUCAUUGGGCGUAAAGAGCUCGUAGGCGGCUUGUCAAGUCGGGUGUGAAACCUCCAGGCUCAACCUGGAGACGCCACUCGAGACUGUCAUGGCUAGAGUCCGGUAGGGGAUCACGGAAUUCCUGGUGUAGCGGUGAAAUGCGCAGAUAUCAGGAGGAACACCAGUGGCGAAGGCGACUACCUGGCCUGUUUCUUGACGCUGAGGCGCGAAAGCUAGGGGAGCAAACGGG